CUUAAUCAUGCUCGGAACUUGAUCAUGUUUCAGAGGCAAUUGAGGAAGAAAAACAAAUUGUAGCGAGGAUAAGAAAAUUUGAGUGUUUGUUAGUUGAAGAAGAAGGAUUCAAAAAGAAAAAAAGAAAUUAAGAGUUAAAAAGUUUUGAUACUAUUUGUUAAGAUCGUAAAUCUUAAUUUGAAAAAAAUUAGAGAACGGAUAAGAAGACUCUAAAAGAAAGAUUUGAAGGAAGAAAGAAGGACUUGGAAUUAAUAAUAAUUAGAGAUUAUUAGAAGUAAUUAGUUAAGUUAUAUUGGUAUAAGUAAUGUGUUACACUAAUAUCAUUGAAAAAAAAAAAAAAGUGGGGUGUAUAUUCAAAGUAUAUAUCCAUUUCUAGAAACGCGAUGGUUACGAGGACUAAUUAUCUACUUUAAGAGGAGUAUAAUAGAAUGAAUCCAUAAUAGAUUUUAGUAUUUACAAUAAUAUUUUAUGUAAAAUUCUUUAAAAAGAGACUUAAAUCUAUAUGAUCUAUUAUUUGUUGUCCAUGUACUAUAUAUUGUUCCAAUUGUGUAUAUCCGGAUAUAUAUAUAUAUAUAUAUAUAUAUGUGUGUGUGUGUGUGUAUGUGUAUGGAGGGAAAGAGAGUUGGGGAUAAGAAAAUUAAAAGCAAUAUUAGUAAAGAAUUGUGGGGUGUGGAUAUGUUAGGAACUUAAUCAUGUUUUAGUGGGAAUUGAGGAAGAGAAAAGAAUUGUGGUAGAGAUAAGGAAAGUUAAGUGUUGUUGAGGUUUCAAAAAGAAAAAGAAAUCAAGAUUUGAGAGAAAUUAGAGAGUGGGUAAGAAAAUUGAAAAAGAAAGAUUUGGAAAGAAGAAGAAGAAGAACUUGGAAUUAAUAAUAAUUAGAGUUUACUACAAAGUAAUUAAAUUAGUCGAAAGAUAUUGAGUUUGCAAAUAAAGAAGAAUAGAUCAAAAAGUACGAGAUCUGUAAGGGUGUACACAAAAAUUUCCUCAAAAAAUUCAAACCCGAGUGGUCUUUAAUCUUCUCAAACUCUUACUUAACCGGUCACUUAUUCUUCCAUUUUGAUUUAAUAAAUUUAGAGAUUUCUUCUACAACCUUUUAAGCUUCCAUAGAAAAUUAACCAUCCAUUUAUUUGUUCGUAUAUUUUUUUUCUUUCUAUAUAAAUCACCAAUAUUCAUAUAUGUGCCCUACCAAUAAAUAAAAUAUUUUAAAUAUAUUAUCAUUAUCUCUCUUAAAUUUUUAUCUAUCUUUUCUCUUAAUAUUCUCUCUCUUUUUCUCUCAAAUCCGGAUACAUACUUUCUUAAAUCAGAACCACAUACCUGAGCCGUGAGAAAUUACUGAACUUUAAGUAGGAAAUAGUUUUACUCAAUUUGUUUUUAACUAUGAAAUGUAGUCUUCCACACGAUUUAUCUUAAAACUCUAAAAAGAUAUAAAUAGGGCAUACCUCAUGUCUGCAACAAGUCCAAAAUCAAGGAUAUAUCCUUUUGGGCAGUUCAUCUUCUUCUACAAAAUCAAGUCCAAACUCAAGGUUUAGUGCUCCAAUUUCAGCUUAUUGAUGUUGUUACAAGUUCAACAAUGGAGUGUUCCGAUGAUGUCGUGUUCAAAUUAUCAAUAUUAUCCUAUGAUGUCGCGUUCAAAUUAUCAAUAUUAUCCUGUCUUACUAACUUUUAAUACAUUAAAUACCAAAACUAAUAAAAUUUAGUAUACAUGCAAUCCAAAAUAUAUGAUAUAAGCUUAUAUUUGGCCUCAAGAAA
rnacentral:lncRNA from 1 species